rnacentral:rRNA from 1 species
CCAGAGAACUUUCCAGAGAUGGAUUGGUGCCUUCGGGAACUCUGAGACAGGUGCUGCAUGGCUGUCGUCAGCUCGUGUUGUGAAAUGUUGGGUUAAGUCCCGCAACGAGCGCAACCCUUAUCCUUUGUUGCCAGCGGUUAGGCCGGGAACUCAAAGGAGACUGCCAGUGAUAAACUGGAGGAAGGUGGGAUGACGUCAAGUCAUCAUGGCCCUUACGAGUAGGGCUACACACGUGCUACAAUGGCGCAUACAAAGAGAAGCGACCUCGCGAGAGCAAGCGGACCUCAUAAAGUGCGUCGUAGUCCGGAUUGGAGUCUGCAACUCGACUCCAUGAAGUCGGAAUCGCUAGUAAUCGUGGAUCAGAAUGCCACGGUGAAUACGUUCCCGGGCCUUGUACACACCGCCCGUCACACCAUGGGAGUGGGUUGCAAAAGAAGUAGGUAGCUUAACCUUCGGGAGGGCGCUUACCACUUUGUGAUUCAUGACUGGGGUGAAGUCGUAACAAGGUAGGCGUAGUGCU